rnacentral:rRNA from 1 species
GCCCACUUGUGGGUGGAUUAGUGGCGAACGGGUGAGUAACACGUGAGUAACCUGCCCUUGACUCUGGGAUAAGCCUGGGAAACUGGGUCUAAUACCGGAUAUGACUCCUCAUCGCAUGGUGGGGGGUGGAAAGCUUUUUGUGGUUUUGGAUGGACUCGCGGCCUAUCAGCUUGUUGGUGAGGUAAUGGCUUACCAAGGCGACGACGGGUAGCCGGCCUGAGAGGGUGACCGGCCACACUGGGACUGAGACACGGCCCAGACUCCUACGGGAGGCAGCAGUGGGGAAUAUUGCACAAUGGGCGCAAGCCUGAUGCAGCGACGCCGCGUGAGGGAUGACGGCCUUCGGGUUGUAAACCUCUUUCAGUAGGGAAGAAGCCUUUCGGGGUGACGGUACCUGCAGAAGAAGCGCCGGCUAACUACGUGCCAGCAGCCGCGGUAAUACGUAGGGCGCAAGCGUUAUCCGGAAUUAUUGGGCGUAAAGAGCUCGUAGGCGGUUUGUCGCGUCUGCCGUGAAAGUCCGGGGCUCAACUCCGGAUCUGCGGUGGGUACGGGCAGACUAGAGUGAUGUAGGGGAGACUGGAAUUCCUGGUGUAGCGGUGAAAUGCGCAGAUAUCAGGAGGAACACCGAUGGCGAAGGCAGGUCUCUGGGCAUUAACUGACGCUGAGGAGCGAAAGCAU